CACGUAGGGACCAAGCGUUGUCCGGAUUUAUUGGGCGUAAAGCGCUCGUAGGCGGUUUGGUAAGUCGGGUGUGAAACCUCCAGGCUCAACCUGGUGACGCCACCCGAUACUGCCAUGACUUGAGUUCGGUAGGGGAGCGGGGAAUUCCUGGUGUAGCGGUGAAAUGCGCAGAUAUCAGGAGGAACACCGGUGGCGAAGGCGCCGCUCUGGGCCGAAACUGACGCUGAGGAGCGAAAGCGUGGGGAGCAAACAGG
rnacentral:rRNA from 1 species